UAUGGCCUUAUCAUGUUGAAACACCAGGUUCCUCUACAAUCCCCAAAGUUAAGCAACGUCGAGCCUGAUCAGUACCUAGAUGGGUGACUGCUUGGGAAUACCAGAUGCU
rnacentral:rRNA from 1 species